AGUUCUAUGGUGUAGUGGUUAGCACUUUGGACUUUGAAUCCAGCGACCUGGGUUCGACUAAGGCCCGUUUGUUUUG
rnacentral:tRNA from 1 species